GACGUAGGGCGCGAGCGUUGUCCGGAUUUAUUGGGCGUAAAGAGCUCGUAGGCGGCUUGUCGCGUCGUUCGUGAAAACCCAUGGCUCAACUGUGGGCUUGCGGUCGAUACGGGCAGGCUGGAGGCAGGCAGGGGAGAACGGAAUUCCCGGUGUAGCGGUGAAAUGCGCAGAUAUCGGGAGGAACACCGGUGGCGAAGGCGGGUCUCUGGGCAGUAACUGACGCUGAGGAGCGAAAGCGUGGGGAGCGAACAGG
rnacentral:rRNA from 1 species